rnacentral:misc_RNA from 1 species
AGGUCAAUAGUGUUUGGCUCGUACCUGUUGGCAUGCAAGUCAGCGUAAUAUUACCAAGUGAGAUAGGCAUGAAAGAUAGAUGAUUGUUCAGAUAAAUUACACUAUACAAUAAUAUUCAAUAUUUUUUUUUCUCAGAUUCAGGUAAUAGCUAUUUGGCUAAAUUGAGUAUCAAAAGAGAGGAGCAAAGACUGCCCAACUUUUCUACAUAAUGCUUUUGCUACCCAAAAUGUUGGCAGCUACAUGUUAAUGGGAAACAAUUGAAUACAAUGAUCAGGUUCAGAACUACUUUUUACCAUUCAGUAGUAACAUGAGCAAGUUAGUGGGAUUGAUGCAGGAAAUUAUCUAAAUGGUGCAAUUAAAAAACCAACAUGAAGUUUUGCUCACAUUUUUGGGUCUGCCAAGAG